GACGAACGCUGGCGGCGUGCUUAACACAUGCAAGUCGAACGGUGAAGCGCCUUCCUUUUUGGUGGGUGUGGAUGAGUGGCGAACGGGUGAGUAACACGUGAGUAACCUGCCCCCUUCUUCUGGAUAACCGCAUGAAAGUGUGGCUAAUACGGGAUAUUCUGGGUCUGUCGCAUGAUGGGUCUGGGAAAGAUAUUGUUUCGGUGGGGGAUGGGCUCGCGGCCUAUCAGCUUGUUGGUGGGGUGAUGGCCUACCAAGGCGGUGACGGGUAGCCGGCCUGAGAGGGUGAACGGUCACACUGGGACUGAGACACGGCCCAGACUCCUACGGGAGGCAGCAGUGGGGAAUAUUGCACAAUGGGCGCAAGCCUGAUGCAGCGACGCCGCGUGAGGGAUGGAGGCCUUCGGGUUGUGAACCUCUUUCGCCAGUGAAGCAGGCCUGCCUCGUUUGUGGGUGGGUUGACGGUAGCUGGAUAAGAAGCGCCGGCUAACUACGUG
rnacentral:rRNA from 1 species